rnacentral:rRNA from 1 species
AUUAGGAAUCUUGCACAAUGGGGGCAACCCUGAUGCAGCGACGCCGCGUGGAGGAGGAAGUCCUUCGGGAUGUAAACUCCUUUUGUCUGGGAAGAAACAAAUGACGGUACCAGACGAAUAAGCCCCGGCUAACUACGUGCCAGCAGCCGCGGUAAUACGUAGGGGGCGAGCGUUGUCCGAAGUUACUGGGCGUAAAGCGCGCGUAGGCGGGCUAUUAAGUGAGAAGUGAAAGGCUGGGGCUCAACCCCAUGCAGUGCUUCUCAUACUGUUAGUCUUGAGGGCGGUAGAGAGAAGUGGAAUGGCUGGUGUAGCGGUGAAAUGCGUAGAUAUCAGUCGGAACACCCGUGGCGAAGGCGGCUUCUUGGGCCGUUUCUGACGCUGAGGCGCGAAAGCUGGGGGAGCGAACGG